CAGCCUUUGAAUGUCGCGUUUGGUCGCCAGAGAUGGCUUCCUUCAGUUCGGCUGGCGCGAACACAGGUGCUGCAUGGCUGUCGUCAGCUCGUGUCGUGAGAUGUUGGGUUAAGUCCCGCAACGAGCGCAACCCUCGUCCUCAGUUGCCAUCAUUAAGUUGGGCACUCUGGGGAGACUGCCGGUGAUAAGCCGGAGGAAGGUGGGGAUGACGUCAAGUCCUCAUGGCCCUUACGGGCUGGGCUACACACGUGCUACAAUGGCGGUGACAAUGGGACGCGAAGGUGCGAGCCUUAGCAAAUCUCAAAAAGCCGUCUCAGUUCGGAUUGCACUCUGCAACUCGAGUGCAUGAAGGUGGAAUCGCUAGUAAUCGUAGAUCAGAACGCUACGGUGAAUACGUUCCC
rnacentral:rRNA from 1 species